GCAUCCUCUGUGCUCCUAUUGCUGCGGUAGGCAAACUGGUGUGGGUCCAGUGUGGAUGGGAGGAAGUCCUUUAGGUGUGCCAGGACCAGUCGCUCAAAGCACUUCAUAACAAUGGGUGUGAGUGCUACCGGGCGGUAGUCGUUCAGGCACAAUGGAGGUGGAUUUAAAGCAUGCUGGCACAGCUGCUUAGGUGAGGGACAGGUUGAAAAUAUCCGUAAAGACCCCAGCGAGCUGCUCUGCACAUGCCUUGAGUACGCGCCCGGUACCUCCUGGUACGCGCCUGGUCCAGCAGCCCUGCGCACGUUGAUCCGGUUCAGUGCAGUGUGGACUUCUGUGGUGUGUGGCGGUCGGGUGGUCAGCUGAGGGUGUGAGCUUGGUGGCGAGCAUAAAAGUCGUUAAGCUCGUUCAGGAAGGAGACUUCUGUGGCCACGGGGGUGGAGGGUCUGGGUUUGUAGUUGCUGAUGGCCUGGAUGCCCUGCCACAUGCGUCGAGGGUCGGAGUUGCAAAAGUGCUCCUGUAACUUUAGCUUGUAGCAGUGCUUGGCCUUUUUGAUGCCCCCCCCCUCAGAUUUGCCCUGGAUGUGCUGUAGGUCUGUGCGUCACCUGAUCUGAAGGCAGUGUUGCGUGCCUUCAACAGGAGGCGCACCUCCUUGUUCAUCCAUGGCUUCUGCUUUUUGGUGAUCUGCUUCUGUCUGUGGUGAUGUUGAUGUAGUCCAGUACAGAGGAGGUGUAGCUAUCUAUGAGAGCCACAGGUGGCCUGAGAGGCAAACAUACUCCAGUCUGUGUUGAAACCUGUCCUGGAGUGUGGAGUCUACCCCCCCGCUGGCCACACUUUGAUGGUCCUCACUGAUGGCUUCACACUAUUGAUGAGAGGUGAGCACUUGGGGGUGAGGAACAAAGAAAGGUGAUCAGAUUGACCCAGGUGGAGGUGGGGGUGGAGGAGGGAGGGUCACGGCGUAAGCCUCAGCCAUGUUUGUGUAGACAUGGUCCAAAGUUUUGUUUCCUCUGGUGCGACAGGAAACAUGCUGGUGAAAUUUGGGGAGCACUGCCUUUAAGUUUGAGUGAUUAAAAUCUCCCGCAACAAUAAAUGCAGCCUGUUGUUUACUGACGGCCGCAUGAAGCUUGGCAUCCGCAUCCGGAAGAACAGAAGCUGCCGCUGUAAUGGUGGAAGUGAACUCCCGUGGCGGAUAAAACGGUCCACAUUAAACCAUGAGAAACUCUAGGAUGAAGGGAUUUUAAACAGCUCUUUAUAUUCACCUGUUCUCUCACCGGAAGACUCAGGGCUGAAGAAACAAAGAAGAGUUGAAGCGCACUCAAUUGUCCCUCCGGGCUCCCUUACAGUCAAGAUGGCGGCGAAAAUAACAAAAACGGGGAUGUGUAUCGAGCCUAACUUCAGUGGAUCGUAACAUAUCGGGUGUGGCGUUAAUGUGCAGAUGUUCCGGUUCAAGAUGAGACCAAACUGGGUGUCAGUUUUUGAGCCACAACAAAAGCCAAAAUGUCGCCUGCAACAGACUAGAUGAUGUGGAGAGGAUCUGCUGCUCUGACUGGACUGAUGACCAAACACCUUCAGUCACGCUUAAAGAGGAACAACGUAAACUUCACAGACAGCAGGAAUAUUCUUCGUAUGAGGAGUAACAAGCAGAGUGGAGGCUGUCUGGGAUCUUCCUCCUCCUCCUCCUCCUCCUCCUCCUCCUCGGCUGCAGGGUUUACUGUUUGUGGUCUGACCGAGUGUGUUUACCUGGCGAGGAAUCUGAAAAGACGACAGGACAGACGGUACACACAGCCGAGGUGAAGGAACAAGAGAAGUCGGACCACCGUGCUCUCUGCACACACACAACUUGUCCUCCCUGUGCGGACGUCAAACAACCCAAAAUAUUUUUCCCUUUUGUAGUCCAGUGUGGCUCAGUGGGUCACACGAGGUACUGAGAAAGAGGGCUGAAACAUCUACGUGAGGUGCAAAAAUCUACUGGAGUAAUGAAAGUAAAGACUAGCUCUUUUAAAACAUGCUCACAAUACAAGUUACUGAUUGAAAGCAACCUGUGAAAUGUUCCUUUAGAUUUUUCACUAAAACAAGAACAGUUUCUAAAAAAAAAACACACACACACACACAAUUUGAAACCUUCCUCGAGCCCCCGUGCAGGUGCACAGCGUGAAAAUCUGGGCCCUGUGCAUGUGUAGUCUCAUUGACCCCCCUCUCCUGAUCCACCCGUCCUCACACACACACAAAUACCUGACUCACUAAACUAACACAUGCAUCUGUAGAGGUGCAGUACUGUUAUAUUUUCUAUGAAGUUUGUGUUAAGAAACAUAGAAGUUCUCUUUAAAAAGCCAGUCAGAUUAUUUCCUCCUCCGCCAAAACUUCAACCUGCGGCUGUAAACUGAUGUGCUUCAGGUGAACAAAUAUUGUCUCUUAGUUUAGACUUGUGCAGCUGCCGGUCUGCUGAGAGUCCCGGGGGAACAGCGGAGACCUGCAGCAUCCACAUACUGUACGCUGGGAAUCAAACCUGCAGCAGGUGCUCACUCACCUGCGAGAAUACUGAGUCUACAUGAAGGAAAUUUCAUUUCCAAACACCCACAAAUUGGUGUUUUCUCUGCUUAAUGAUUACACGUAAAUUCUAAUUUCUUUGCAUGUUUUAUGAAUUAAGCUUUCUUUCUCACUGACCAAAGAUUCUCCUUGCUGAGUCUUUUACCUGCAGACUUCUCACAGGUAAAUCUAUAUGUUUUCUUUCAGUUUCUCUGGUAAAAGUCACAGGUUUAACUGAACUUUCCUCUCAACGAGAGCUGUGUUUUGUUGCACAUUGUGACCACACUGAUACCUACUGGUGAGCUCCUGCAGCUACAGCAGAAUGAAAUCACAACUCUGCAUCUGUUUUUAAAAUAUAAUAAAAAAUUGUGUACGCAGCGUGGGCACAAGAUAAGUAAGCAGUUGGAUUUGCAUCUUUGUCCAGGUGUGAGAUGAUACACCUGUUUGAAGAUCACAAAGGGAGACGUCUGUAAUUUGGUCAUUUCUGCAGAAAAGACGAACACUACAGAGACUAAGGGCUAUAUGCUUUUAUGGCCUGAUCACCUUUUCACAGAAAAUUAGACUAAAUAUUUCUUUCAAGGGAAGUGAUAUUGAAUUUAUUUAAUAGCUUAAUAAAUGUAAUCAUUACACACACA